rnacentral:sRNA from 1 species
GCCAGGGUGUGGUGGCUCACGCCUGUCAUCCCAGCAGCUUGGGAGGCUGAGGCAGGAGGAUCACGAGUUCAAAGCCAGCCUCAGCCACAGCGAAGCCCUAAGCAGCUCAGUGAGACCCUGUCUCUA